CUGUUGUUUUACGAGAGGAUCUCUCAGCUCAAGUUAGGACUCUUAAAAAACGUGUUAAAGAGGCAGAGGAGGAACAAUAUCGAGCUGAGGAAGAUGCGGCAUCUCUGAGAGCAGAGCUUAACUCGAUACAACAGCAAGCAAUGAG